CAGUCGCCGCGGUAAUACGAAGGGUGCAAGCGUUAAUCGGAAUUACUGGACGUAGAGCGUGCGUAGGCGGUGAGUUAAGUCUGCUGUGAAAUCCCCGGGCUCAACCUGGGAAUGGCAGUGGAUACUGGCUCGCUAGAGUGUGUCAGAGGAUGGUGGAAUUCCCGGUGUAGCGGUGAAAUGCGUAGAGAUCGGGAGGAACAUCAGUGGCGAAGGCGGCCAUCUGGGACAACACUGACGCUGAGGCACGAAAGCGUGGGGAGCAAACAGGAUUAGAUACCCCCGUAGUCCCUGUCUCUUAUAC
rnacentral:rRNA from 1 species